UCGUGGAUGUAUUUUAUUUUAUAUGUACUGUAGUACCACUUUCAUAUUCAGUUUUUUUUAAAUUCCAGAUAAGACAUUCUCAGAAGCAAUGAAAACCCAUCUUCAGCAAGCUGAACAUAGAUCCAAGAUUCUACAGGAUAUAGUACAGUUACUAAGUGAUAGUUAGUUGGACAGUUGAGUUCAAGGCAAUGAAAGUCUUAAAUGAGUAUGUGUAAGAAGGGUCAUAUUCAUUUUAAGAUGUUAUGAUAAAAGUUAUUGGUUUAAAAAAUUUAUAGUACUGUGUCAUUAUGCAAUUGAAAUAAUUAAUUUCAAUAACUAAUUUUACAACUUUUUUAAAGUUUUUUUUAUCCAAGUAGAAUGUUGUGUACCUGAUAAUUAAUUAGGUGAGAAAAGGUUUAUGAAAGUAAUUUAAUGCUAUAUUCUUUUAUUAUAUAUGUCAGAUUCAUAUAAUACUUAUAUUAUUGGCAGAUCUUUUGUUUUAAGGUUGAGAAAUUACAAGACCGUUUUAGCUUUUAUGGCAAGGGAAGUUCACAAAAAAGUGCUCAACUUUCCAUAUAUUUGUUGACCUCAAAAUGAAGUAAUUUGCUUUAGAGUUAUUCCCCUUGGCCACCUUUUUUUUGCAGCUGAAACAGAUUUAUUUUUCUUAUACAUAAUAUAUAUGUUAUAUGAAUUUAAGGCCCAAUUACUACAUAAGUAAGCCGCCUACUAAAACCAAUAAGAAAAUUUUCCUUUCUUACUUACCAAAUUAAAACAUGUGGUACACCGUACUAUCAAUUUAUUAUGACAGCAAAAGGGUAACUUUUACGUUAAAAACAUCAAUCAAAAACUAUCUAUGUAAAAAAGUAUUAAUCUACCUCUGAAACAGGGUUUAUUUCAUAUUUUAUAUAUUUCUCCCAUCUUUCUGUGAUCUUCAACACUUGAUAGGGUUUUGUAGGAAAAGAUUAGGAAUUAUUAUUAAAACAUACUUUUAUACUCAAUAUAGUUUACUCAAGCUAUCUGAGGUAUUGUUUUACUGCUAGUUAAUAAGAUGCUUGAUGAUUAAAUUGAACUGAACGAUUAUUCUAAACGCUUUUUAAAUAUAUUUUAUGUCACUGCAAAAACAAAUAAGAUCAGAUAUAAUAGAAUGUAUCAGAGGAAGUAGAUUUAUAUGGCAUGUUUCCCAGUUAAAAAAGUUCUACAGAGGUAUUUUUCUUAUUUUUAAAAAUGUCAAAUGAAUUAUUAUUUGGUAAUAAUUUAUAAUGAAAUAUAUUAAAGUACAAAGAUGUACAUGAUUUUUUUUUUAAUUUCCAAUUAUUGUGAUAGUUUCUUUACUGCCUUAUUUAGCUGGGAUUGAUGAAUUAUGUUGGCAUGUUUUGGAUAUAAGCAAAUGUUUUAUGAUUUGCUGAUGUUACUGCCUUUUGUUAAAUUUUAUAUUUUGAUAAGAUUUAUAAUAAAUGUUGAAUAGAUUGUAUAUUUUUAUAACAAUUUACAAAUGAUUAUAGCUAAUAUUUCACAUUAUGUUAUAUUAUCAGGAUAACUUGCUUUAUAUAUGAAAAAACAUUUCAUUUGCAACGUUUAUGUACAAAUAGGAAUCAAGCCUUUUUGAUUCACAUUUUAAAACCAAGAGCCGAGUUAGAUAAUUCAAGUGCCUAUCACUAUACCAGAAAAGAGACAAGAGACAAUUUCACUAUUUGUCUUGAAAGGUUGACAUGCAGAAUUUUGAUGAAGUAAUUUUUUUGAAACAGACAUUUGCAUGUCAGAUAAGAACCUCUAAACAAAAUAUAAUAAAAAUUAGAAUUAAACAUACAUUUUUAUACUCAUAGAUUGGAUGACCCUUUACCAAAUCUGGAUGUCCAUAUGUCCACUUAUCAGUCACCUUUCAGUUUUUUUCCAAUUUCCUUAUUUUAGGAUCAGCUGUACAAAGUCAAGGGGACUAACUGACUAACUAUAGUUUGUGUCUGCUACUGCAUGCAUGUUUAAAGUCAUCAUUUCUAAAUCAAAAGAUUAUGGCCAUUUGAUUUCUAGAAAUUCAAGUAAUUCAUAAGUUUUGUUGUAGUUGACCUGCUCUUGACAACCUUUAUAUUUGUAGAAAAUUUCUUCAAAAUUAAAAUUCUUAGUUCUGUUGUAAGCUGUCAUCAUGGUUACCAUAAUUAAGAAAUAAUUGAUGCAAGCUAUACUUUAUUGUAGUUUUAACAUGGGUAGGCAUUUUAUACGUGAUUAUUUUGCCUGAGUGAUAAUGAGGGCUAAAAUAACACGAAUAUGAUGCCUACCUAUGUUAAAACUACAAUUAAGUAUAGCUUGCAUCAAUUAUUUCGAUUCUGAAUAGGACAAUUAAGGUAAUUUCUAUGUCCGAUAAGUAUAAGUGUAAACGGGUUUGUGUAGGCUCGUCCAUAAACCUUAGUCCUCCCUUUUUUGUUUGUAAAGAAGCAACGGCUGGCACUGUGAUUUUUCAGAGUGAGGAGUUUGAACAGCCAGCACGAACAGUUGUUGUAUCUAGGUCAAAUAUGUCAAUUUCGGAAUGCAACACAUUACAGUCAUAAUAAAGGAAUUAGUUACAUCAUGUGCACCAUUUAAGAGUUUGAAUGUUUUUUUAAAGUUAAGGAAAUAUAUUAAGUGCAUGAUAAUUUGAUAAAAUUCAUUAUUCUGAAGAAGUCAAGAUACGCAUGUGCAAACAAAUUUUAUUGGAUUAAGGAGCGUUUGUUUGUUCACAAAGCGAAACAAGCACAUCAUAUUAGAAUUGGUAUUAAAUUAUUAAGUAGUCAAUAAAAGAUUCCUUAAGGUAGUAUGGGUGUCUUUCGCCAUCUUGGAUUGUAAAAAACAGAGAAUGUAAGGUCAAAAUUUUCAAUCAAAUUAGCAAAAUUUGAUGCAGAAAUGCAGAUAACUUAUGUGAAUCUGCAUUUAAAAGAACAAAUUUAUGAGAUUAAAAUUUGUACAUACUAAUACUUUUAAAAGUUUAGGAUAUUUUUUGCUUAGUUUUUAAUGUUUUGAAUUGACAUUUUAAGGGGAGAUCACUCUAAAAUAGCGCAUUUUCUGAAGGAAUCUACAUGGAAUUUUGCUAUUUUGUAUUUUAACCGGGAAAAUAGCACGGUAACACUAUCUUUUCUUUUGAUAUUCUUAAAGCAUUUUCUAAAAGCUAUCUUCUCGUAUUUUAUCUUACAAUUCUAUCAUUUGGUUAAGCUUCUAAUCACAAAAAUGAUGUUUUUUCCCAGUAUAAUCCAUACAAAAUGUGUCCUAUAAUUUUUAUUAUAUUUUUGAACAUUUAUCAAUACAUACUACGUUUUGGCAAAGUAUGAACUAUUGUAUCAUUUUUGAU
rnacentral:lncRNA from 1 species